rnacentral:rRNA from 1 species
CCUACGGGAGGCAGCAGUGAGGAAUAUUGGUCAAUGGGCGCUAGCCUGAACCAGCCAAGUAGCGUGAAGGAUGACUGCCCUACGGGUUGUAAACUUCUUUUAUAAAGGAAUAAAGUGAAGCAUGUAUGCCUUUUUGUAUGUACUUUAUGAAUAAGGAUCGGCUAACUCCGUGCCAGCAGCCGCGGUAAUACGGAGGAUCCGAGCGUUAUCCGGAUUUAUUGGGUUUAAAGGGAGCGUAGACGGGUUGUUAAGUCAGUUGUGAAAGUUUGCGGCUCAACCGUAAAAUUGCAAUUGAUACUGGCAGCCUUGAGUACAGUUGAGGUAGGCGGAAUUCGUGGUGUAGCGGUGAAAUGCUUAGAUAUCACGAAGAACUCCGAUUGCGAAGGCAGCUUACUAAACUGUAACUGACACUGAUGCUCGAAAGUGUGGGUAUCAAACAGGAUUAGAUACCCCAGUAGUC